rnacentral:misc_RNA from 1 species
AAGUCGUAACAAGGUUUCCGUAGGUGAACCUGCGGAAGGAUCAUUAAAGAGUAAGGGUCUCUGGCCCGAACCUCCAACCCUCUGUUGUUAUAACUACUUCGUUGCUUUGGCGGGACCGCGAAGGUCCUCCCGAGCGCGCCAGUCCCCGGACAGGCGAGCGCCCGCCAGAGUCUAACCAAACUCUUGUUUUAAACCAGUCGUCUGAGUAUAAAAUUUUAAUUAAAUUAAAACUUUCAACAACGGAUCUCUUGGUUCUC